rnacentral:lncRNA from 1 species
CGCUCGUGGAGAUCUCCACGAGAUCAGCCUCAGGAGUAAGUUCCCUCGCUUGCCCCUCCUGCCACCUACCGUUCUGGCCGGCUGCCUCUUUCUUCCGUGUCUCCGCGGCCUCGGUGGAGGCCAGUUUCAGAUUCCAGCGGGAGAGCGCCCAGGGCUGCGAAGCAAUAGAGCAAAGAGCAGAAUCCUGUCCCCAAGGCUGGUGACAAAUGACCAGCCCUAGGGAAGAAUCUAGGGAAGUCACACCAUUUUGUCUCUACUUGGAGCACUGGAACUUAUGCUACUCAGUUCUACCAAAGUGGAGAGAAAAGAGUGCCCUGGCUGCCAGAGUUUCCCAUGAGAUCAUAUUGGGAUGGACUAAGUGUAAGUAAUAACUGUGUGUGGAUGGUAUUGAAGGAAUGUACUGGAUAAUAUGAAAUUAAAAUAGAUGAUGAAAUUUGAAGAUAGUAGCCAAUUUUUUAAUAUUACUAUCAAUUUAUUUUUUUUCAAAUUUUCUGUGGAAUUCAUUAUCUCAGAAGAUAUUUAUUUACCCAAUAUUAGGGAGACAUGAAAAAAUUUUUUUCAUAGAUGACAGUGGAUAUGAUUGAAUUUCUAAAUAGAUUUUGAAUCCCAAAAAGAAGACCAUUGAUCUGAAAUUCAAUGAUUGCUGAAAUUAUUGAAUUGCAAAAUAGUACUUACUUUACUGUAUAGUUUUACGUCUUAUUUCCAG